AGGUGCUGAGCUCUUGGGGGAUGAAGGCUGUGCUGCUGGCCAACACAGAGAUCAACCUGUAUGCCACCAACAUCCCAACCGCCUGGAACCAAUAUCAGUCAAGGAAAGCAAACUGUAUUCUGUUUGGCCUCAUACAUCAACGGAAUUGUUGAAUGCAUUGCUGAUGAAGAUGAAAGAAGCAGAAAGAACCCAAUUUGAAUUUCAGAGUUAAGCAAGGGUAGGAAUUAAAAAUUUUUUCUUGUUAACUGAUCAAAUUUAAUCUGGAGUCAGAGAAUGAGUAACUAUGUGUUAAGGCUCCAAAACUGAUAUCUCAAGGUUUGGGAUUGGGAAUAUCUUGCUGUAUUAUCCCCUGAUUGUUCUAAAUUUACAUAUAAAUUUAAAAUAUGGCUUU